GACCAAUCCGGCCUGUCAAUCAAACCUAACGGAUUGACCAAUCAGAGCGCGCCAUUUCCACCAAGCGACAUCCGCCAUUUUGUCGGGCAAGAACUUGGGUAACGGGGCCAUUUUACAUAGGUUUCAAUGGGGAAAGUCUGUUGUUUCGGGACUUGCAAUUCAGAUUGGUGUCUGGAGUCAGUUUUUACCCUUUUCCGAAGCCAAAGACCCGCAUGGAUGCAUGCAUGAGAUGGAUUAAGGCCUGUGGUCGUCCACAUUCGCAACUCAACGUAACGAAGAUCACGAAGGACACAAUACGUAUGAUCAAAGCACUUCAAAGAUGGGAGACCAACGACACGGUUUCCAGACCCGCAGCCAGCGGAUGGCACCGACGCCGCGCCAGUCAGGACGCCAAUGAAACGUCAUGUACAGCAGAAUGAGUGUAUAGCAAAAAGCAGUCAGUGACAAAAGUUUUUAUAAACUGGAAUGAAAUCAACAGCUACAACACAAGACAAUCACAUCUCCUACACAAACUAAACCACACUUCAAGAGCAGGUCAGCGCACGUUUGUUUUUGGAGAUACAUGUACUACAAUAUACAACUCAGUAAAUCCUGACUUAAAACUAGCACCCACACCGAAAACAGUCAAUCAGGCCUUAACCCCAAAAGACCUAUGAAAUGACUGGAUUAUGAUAAUGAUUUGUUAUGACUUAACUUCAUUUGAGUUAUGAUUCAUUUUGCCUUUUGUUUGCUAAUAUUACCUUCUGUUAUUUUGUCCAUAGAUUGACUAUAUUAUAUAUCUGUUAUUAUGAUGGGUUGUUAUUAUGUAAGUUCUUUUGAGUACUUUGUUCCAUUAUUUGUAACUUAUACAUGCAUUGGACUCGUGUUUGUUGUCUGUGGUUAAGCAUUUUCUUUUGUACAUUGUUUUAUAUAUUUUAUUCUGUAACUGGGCUAUCAUGAAAAUCAGUUUUACAAACCAAAUGAUCACCCAAAAGAUCAGUGAAUAAAUAAAUAUUUGGCUACUACCACAGUACCUAGAUUGCCAUGUGAUUUUAAGUUCACUGCAAACACAGUAUGUACAGCUAUGAGGUAUGUGUACAGUUUGAAAUAUUUGCCGUCAUGUUAUGUUCACAGAGGAAAAGUAAAAGCAAACUUGUGAACUUAAAAAUACAGUGACGAAUUCAGGAAAUACAUGUACAGUACUUAUACAACACUAGUUAUAGUCAGUCAACAUCAUAAUUAUUUGCUAUGAAUGUCCAUUAGUCUACUGUUUGACAACAUUAAUUAGUAUCAUGUGUUUUUUUAUCCA